AUGGCAGUAGCUCAGUGGUAGAGUCACCGCUUCGUACGUGGGUAGACCUGGGUUCGAUUCCCCGCCGCUUUC
rnacentral:tRNA from 1 species